rnacentral:lncRNA from 1 species
AUCACCAUUUAUGCUCAAACCAUCAACAAGAAUUCCAGAAACCUUUUUAUUUUUUUACAAUAAGAACUCUCACCAUCACUAUCAAUAUCAACUUCAUCAACCAUAACAUAACUCAACACAACAACAACACUCACCGCCGACAACCACCAAACGCCGGAAAACCCACGCCAUAGCCUUCAUAUACGUCGUUGCCGCCUUCAGGUCCGCCGCCAUCCACCACCAUUUGUUGUCUCAAUCACCAUUUGGUACAUUUCUUUCAUGAAUCAAUGGGUUAAUUUUCUGGAUUUUAAAUCGAUGUUGUGGUUGUAAAGUUUUGUUUGUUUGAGUGAGGGAGAAGAGUUUUUUGUUUCUAUAUUUUUUUAUUCUUUGAAAAAUGACAAGUGGUAAGAGAAGAUGAGAGAGAAUGAGAACAGAGGGAGAAAACUGAUUUUGUGAAUAUUAAUUUUGUUUCCUUUUUAUUUCUUUCUUGAUGAAGAUAUCUAGUUAAAAAUAGUCUAUUUUAUUCUUUAUUUAUU